CGGCGACGCGGCCAGGCGGGAGAGCAGCUCGCUCCACUCGUGCGCGGCGAGAUCGGGGUGCGCCGCGCGGAUCAGUUCCGCGGCCCCCGU
rnacentral:tRNA from 1 species